GACGAACACUGGCGGCGUGCCUAAUACAUGCAAGUGGGACGCAAGGAAACACACUGUGCUUGCACACCGUGUUUUCUUGAGUCGCGAACGGGUGAGUAACGCGUAGGUAGCCUGCCUAUUAGCGGGGGAUAACUAUUGGAAACGAUAGCUAAUACCGCAUAAUAUUAAUUAUUGCAUGAUAAUCGAUUGAAAGAUGCAAGCGCAUCACUAGUAGAUGGACCUGCGUUGUAUUAGCUAGUUGGUAAGGUAAGAGCUUACCAAGGCGACGAUACAUAGCCGACCUGAGAGGGUGAUCGGCCACACUGGGACUGAGACACGGCCCAGACUCCUACGGGAGGCAGCAGUAGGGAAUCUUCGGCAAUGGACGAAAGUCUGACCGAGCAACGCCGCGUGAGUGAAGAAGGUUUUCGGAUCGUAAAGCUCUGUUGUAAGUCAAGAACGUGUGUGAGAGUGGAAAG
rnacentral:rRNA from 1 species